CGGAAGUGCCGCGCGGCUGCUCCCGCGCACGGAUUGAAGUUCGGCAGCUUCAGCGCCAGACAAGUGUGAUUUCCUGCCGUGACGAGGCGUCGUCACAGAUCUUUGUGAUCCGAGUGGCCGAGCGCGAUCACCUCCAGCUAUGCCAUGAUCCUGAGAGGAGUGGAAGCUCAGUGACUCAAGGUGAGGAAGUUGAGGCUUUACCACGCUAACACUAACUCAUCGCAGCUGCUGCUUUGAUUUGAUUUCCGGUGGAUGUACUGUGGCCAUCUAGUGGCUUCAGGAAUAUGGUGAUGUUACCUAGGGAAGACACUUAAUGCAGAAAACAUGUUACAUUAAGAAGAAGGGGAUAAGAAGAAUGAAAUAUACAGAUGUGCUACUUAAAGGUUAGUGUUAUUUUCUCUUGCAAGUUUUGUGUAAACAAAAAAAUGUAUAUGAAUACAUUUCACCACAGCAGGUAAAUAACUCUUACUGUGACCUUUAACCUGGUUUAUUUUAU
rnacentral:lncRNA from 1 species